rnacentral:rRNA from 1 species
UACGGAGGGGGCUAGCGUUGUUCGGAAUUACUGGGCGUAAAGCGCACGUAGGCGGCUUUGUAAGUUAGAGGUGAAAGCCCGGGGCUCAACUCCGGAAUUGCCUUUAAGACUGCAUCGCUUGAAUCCGGGAGAGGUGAGUGGAAUUCCGAGUGUAGAGGUGAAAUUCGUAGAUAUUCGGAAGAACACCAGUGGCGAAGGCGGCUCACUGGACCGGUAUUGACGCUGAGGUGCGAAAGCGUGGGGAGCAAACAGG